CCUGCCCCUAGAGAUGUUGGAGGUGUGGCUGCUGUAUCUUAUGUAUGUCAGUAGGUGGCAGAGAAGAAAGAGGCUAUGUCUAUGCUCAGUAUUCUGACCUAUGAACAUAUGAGUGAUUAGAAGCUUAACAUC
ensembl:snoRNA Gm24373 small nucleolar RNA SNORA17